GAUGGACAUACCUCUGGUGUACCAGUUGUCGUGCCAACGGCAUAGCUGGGUAGCUAUGUAUGGACGGGAUAAGUGCUGAAAGCAUCUAAGCAUGAAGCCCCCCUCAAGAUGAGAUUUCCCAACUUCGGUUAUAAGAUCCCUCGAAGAUGACGAGGUUAAUAGGUUCGAGGUGGAAGCGUGGUGACACGUGUAGCUGACGAAUACUAAUCGAUCGAAGACUUAAUCAA
rnacentral:rRNA from 1 species